rnacentral:rRNA from 1 species
AGAACCUGCCGUAUACUGGGGGAUAACACUUAGAAAUAGCUGCUAAUACCGCAUAUGCGCACGGCGCCGCAUGGCGCAGUGCGGAAAGGGAGCAAUCCCAGCAUGCGAUGGGUCCGCGUCCGAUUAGCUAGUUGGCGGGGCAGCGGCCCGCCAAGGCGACGAUCGGUAGCCGGCCUGAGAGGGCGGACGGCCACAUUGGGACUGAGACACGGCCCAGACUCCUACGGGAGGCAGCAG